rnacentral:rRNA from 1 species
GCGGCGGACGGGUGAGUAACACGUGGGUAACCUGCCCAUAAGACUGGGAUAACUCCGGGAAACCGGGGCUAAUACCGGAUAACAUUUUGAACUGCAUGGUUCGAAAUUGAAAGGCGGCUUCGGCUGUCACUUAUGGAUGGACCCGCGUCGCAUUAGCUAGUUGGUGAGGUAACGGCUCACCAAGGCAACGAUGCGUAGCCGACCUGAGAGGGUGAUCGGCCACACUGGGACUGAGACACGGCCCAGACUCCUACGGGAGGCAGCAGUAGGGAAUCUUCCGCAAUGGACGAAAGUCUGACGGAGCAACGCCGCGUGAGUGAUGAAGGCUUUCGGGUCGUAAAACUCUGUUGUUAGGGAAGAACAAGUGCUAGUUGAAUAAGCUGGCACCUUGACGGUACCUAACCAGAAAGCCACGGCUAACUACGUGCCAGCAGCCGCGGUAAUACGUAGGUGGCAAGCGUUAUCCGGAAUUAUUGGGCGUAAAGCGCGCGCAGGUGGUUUCUUAAGUCUGAUGUGAAAGCCCACGGCUCAACCGUGGAGGGUCAUUGGAAACUGGGAGACUUGAGUGCAGAGAGGAAAGUGG